rnacentral:rRNA from 1 species
AUUGAACGCUGGCGGCAGGCCUAACACAUGCAAGUCGAACGAGUGGCGGACGGGUGAGUAAUGUCUGGGAAACUGCCUGAUGGAGGGGGAUAACUAAUGGAACCGGUAGCUAAUCCCGCAUACCAUCAGAUGUGCCCAGAUGGGCUUAGCUUGUUGGUGGGGUAACGGCUCACCAAGGCCACGAUCCCUAGCGGGUCUGAGAGGAUGACCAGCCACACUGGAACUGAGACACGGUCCAGACUCCUACGGAAGGAAGAAGUGGGGAAUAUGGGACAAUGGGCGCAAGCCUGAUGCAGCCAUGCCGCGUGGAUGAAGAAGUCCUUCGGGUUGUAAAGUACUUUGAGCGGGGAGGCGUUACCCGCAGAAGAAGCACCGGCUAACUCCGUGCCAGCCGCCGCGGUAAUUC